rnacentral:rRNA from 1 species
AACGAACGCUGGCGGCAUGCCUAACACAUGCAAGUCGAACGAGACCUUCGGGUCUAGUGGCGCACGGGUGCGUAACGCGUGGGAACCUGCCCUUAGGUUCGGAAUAACUCCCCGAAAGGGGUGCUAAUACCGGAUAAUGUCUUCGGACCAAAGAUUUAUCGCCUCUGGAUGGGCCCGCGUUGGAUUAGCUAGUUGGUAGGGUAAAAGCCUACCAAGGCGACGAUCCAUAGCUGGUCUGAGAGGAUGAUCAGCCACACUGGGACUGAGACACGGCCCAGACUCCUACGGGAGGCAGCAGUGGGGAAUAUUGGACAAUGGGCGAAAGCCUGAUCCAGCAAUGCCGCGUGAGUGAUGAAGGCCUUAGGGUUGUAAAGCUCUUUUACCCGGGAUGAUAAUGACAGUACCGGGAGAAUAAGCGCCGGCUAACUCCGUG